rnacentral:rRNA from 1 species
CCUACGGGAGGCAGCAGUAGGGAAUAUUGGGCAAUGGUCGACAGACUGACCCAGCCAUGCCGCGUGCAGGAAGAAGGCGUUCUGCGUCGUAAACUGCUUUUGUUUGGGAUGAAAAAGGUCUUGCGAGACAAAUUGACAGUACCAAACGAAUAAGCCACGGCUAACUACGUGCCAGCAGCCGCGGUAAUACGUAGGUGGCAAGCGUUGUCCGGAUUUAUUGGGUUUAAAGGGUGCGUAGGUGGCUAUUUAAGUCAGUGGUGAAAGACGGUCGCUCAACGAUUGCAGUGCCAUUGAUACUGAAUAGCUUGAGUAGAGAUGAGGUGGGCGGAAUUGAUAGUGUAGCGGUGAAAUGCAUAGAUAUUAUCAAGAACACCAAUUGCGAAGGCAGCUCACUGGGUUCUAACUGACACUGAGGCACGAAAGUGUGGGGAUCAAACAGGAUUAGAUACCCCGGUAGU